GUCCACGCAGUAAACGAUGAUUACUAGGAGUUUGCGAUAUAGUGUAAGCUCUACAGCGAAAGCGUUAAGUAAUCCACCUGGGAGUACGCCGGCAACGGUGAAACUCAAAGGAAUUGACGGGGCCCGCACAAGCGGAGGAACAUGUGGUUUAAUUCGAUGAUACGCGAGGAACCUUACCCGGGUUUGAACGCAGUCUGACCGCCGAUGAAAGUCGGCUUCUAGCAAUAGCGGAUUGCGAGGUGCUGCAUGGUUGUCGU
rnacentral:rRNA from 1 species